UCCUCGCUGCUCUGGCCGCCCAGGAGGUGACUCGCUUCGGGAGGAACCGGGAACGAGCGGGAGGUGUUGAUCUUCCCGCUGAACCGCUGCAUGCUACACGCGGGUGAGGAUCAGUCCCACAUCAGUGGAAGGGAGAGCGAGGGAUCCUGCUACGCGGUCCUCUGCACCGGCAUCCGGAGAGAAACGGGGGGGAUCAAGAGAGCAGAGACGGGGGAGUGAUGAGAGGAAGAAGAAAGAUAAAUAAAUAAUAAAACGCAAUCGAGCCGUAACACCACAGGCCCCGGGAAUGCUGCACCAUCCGGUGCUGGGAAGAAAAAAAAAAAAACAGAAGAGGAAAAAAAGGAACCAAAACACUCCACGAAGACGUACCCCCGAUAAUGGCGCCUGAGUGGAUCAGCAUUAAAUGUGCUUUGGGGGUGUGCGUGUGUGUUUGCAAAAGCAGGGAAAAAAAAAAAAAAAGGAAGGGGGGCUGGCUCAAUCGCUGGCUGUCAGCGGCUCCCCAGGCAGAGGUGGCGGAGCAGUCGCCUCCGAGGUCGCAUACCAACAGUGUGCACAAGCGAGAGGCAGAGUGACAGAGUGUGUGAGAUGGAGUGGAAGAGGCUGGGAAGCCUCAUUCAAAGCACGUUGCUCUUCCUGGGAAGGAGGGUUCUUCUACAAUCAUCUCCUUUUCGGUACCUUCUGGGUUUUCUUCCUGCCUAUUUUUUUUUCCCGGGGAAACAACUCAAAAAAAAAAAAAAAAAAAAAAAAAAAAAAAAAAAAAAGGGCAACGGACACCUGAUCGCCAGCCGAGAGGGAGAAAAAGAGGUGGGGAGGGGGAAGGUGAGGUGGAGAGGCGGGACCGGCAGCCGGAGGGGCUCUGGGAGGCCGCUGUGCGCAGAGUGGCUCGGCUCCGAGGACGGGGCGAGAGGGGGGAGGGCGAAGCCUCUCCUCUGCCCUGCCCUGCCCCAGCGGGCACGGCUUAGCCCGGCAAGAGGGCACUGCCCGGUCCCCGUCCCCUCCGCCCGUCCUCCUCCUUCCCCCAUCUCCCCACGGCCGGGGAGAGGGGGGGUUGCGGGUUUUUUGGAGGUGGUUGUUGUCGUCGCUUUUUAAAAUAAUCCGGUAAAUCGUGUCUCUUACUAUUUUUGUAUUAAUUCAUUUUGCUGCAUUAAAACGUGCUUCAGCGCC